rnacentral:lncRNA from 1 species
GUCUAGAUGCCCAAUCAAUUGCAUUCUUCAAUGGAGCUAAACACAAAACAAAGGUGAAGAUGGAAAUAAGCUUUAUAUGUUUCAUGAUUCAUUCACAGUCUUACAAAAUUGAUAGGUAGAAAUGGCACACUAAGUCUGUGUUUUCUUCUGUUAGAAUAGCAAUCCUGGUUCAGAAGAAUAAAUUAUACAAAAAAUGCAAAAAAUUAACGUAAUGUUUGAUAAGGAAGUUCGAUCAUUUGUGACUAUAUCUCCGAAUUUAGAAGGGCUGCAUUUCCUUUAUAUCAGUUUAAGUUUACAGUGUAUAACUUGUAUUUAAAUACUACAGUUUAUAUUAUGAUAUUAUCCGUGAGCCAUCUGCAACCGUUUUUGCAAUGGGAUUGUCAACCGUUAAGUUCCUUCACUUUGACAAUCUGCAGCCUUGAAAUGAUCAGGGUGUCCUUGGGACGCGAGAAAAAUAUUCCUAAAUCAUUAGUAAACAAGCGCUAAAGCUAUCGGGUAGGGCACCAUUGAAAUGUUGACACUAUCAACAGAGAUUCAACCGAAAAAAUUACAAUUAUGGCCUAGACCAAACUAGAGUCAUCCAAUUGCAAUCAAAUAUCCCAUUGGUGCCGAGGGAUGUUUCAACGCGGGGAGGGUUUCCUACCAAGAGGAAUUUAGUGGAUUUGAACCUUCACACGCGAGGUUAAAGUCGUAAGUUCUAAUCAAAUCACCAUUUGUAUGAGCUGCAAUUUGUCCUAAUGCUAAAAAUGUCAAUGAUAUUAGAGAUAAAGUAAGCAAUUCUUGUUAUCUUCUUUAUUUUCAUAUGAAUAAAAAAUUGUGUCUCAUUAUCUUGCAAUUUUUUAUUCAAAUAGUGGAUUCGGCUCAUAUAUAGACAUACAAUUCAGGACAAGGGGCGAUACGGUUCAAGGGUAUUGUACUAUUGUUGUAAUCUGAACCGGAGUAUUAUAUAUAUUGCAGAGGUAGGCACCAUUGGCCGAACUACGUGAACAAAAAUUGUGUCUCAUAAUCUUGCAAUUUUCGGUUUCUUUAUUCUUCUAUUACU